GAUGAACGCUGGCGGCGUGCCUAAUACAUGCAAGUCGAACGCUGAAGGAAGGAGCUUGCUCUUUCCGGAUGAGUUGCGAACGGGUGAGUAACGCGUAGGUAACCUGCCUGGUAGCGGGGGAUAACUAUUGGAAACGAUAGCUAAUACCGCAUAACAGUAGAUGUUGCAUGACAACUAUUUGAAAGGGGCAAUUGCUCCACUACCAGAUGGACCUGCGUUGUAUUAGCUAGUUGGUGAGGUAACGGCUCACCAAGGCGACGAUACAUAGCCGACCUGAGAGGGUGAUCGGCCACACUGGGACUGAGACACGGCCCAGACUCCUACGGGAGGCAGCAGUAGGGAAUCUUCGGCAAUGGACGGAAGUCUGACCGAGCAACGCCGCGUGAGUGAAGAAGGUUUUCGGAUCGUAAAGCUCUGUUGUAAGAGAAGAACGAGUGUGAGAGUGGAAAGUUCACACUGUGACGGUAGCUGACCAGAAAGGGACGGCUAACUACGUG
rnacentral:rRNA from 1 species